CAUCCCACAGCUCCAUCUCUCAUCAUGUUCUCUACAACUCUACUGCUCCUGCUAGCAGCUGCAACAUGUGUUCACAGUGAAGAACUGACUCAGCCUGGUUCCAUGAUGGUUCAACCAGGUCAGAGUCUGACCAUCAACUGUAAAGUUUCCUAUUCUAUUACAACUUAUACUACAUUUUGGAUCAAACAACCUGCAGGAAAAACUCUGGAGUGGAUUGGAUACAUCGGCUGGAGUGGGAGCACAGCUUACAGUGAUAAACUGAAAAACAAGUUCAGCUUCUCCAGAGACACUGGAACUAACACAAUAACAUUACAAGGACAGAAUCUGCAGACUGAAGAUACAGCUGUGUAUUACUGCGCAAAAGGCUCACAGUGA